rnacentral:rRNA from 1 species
UACGUAGGUGGCUAGCGUUAUCCGGAUUUACUGGGCGUAAAGCGUGCGCAGGCGGCUUUUCAAGUCAGAUGUAAAAUCUCCCGGCUCAACCGGGAGAGACCAUCUGAUACUGUUAGGCUAGAGUGCGGCAGAGGGAAGUGGAAUUCCCGGUGUAGUGGUGGAAUGCGUAGAUAUCGGGAGGAACACCAGUGGCGAAAGCGGCUUUCUGGGCUGUUACUGACGCUGUAGCACGAAAGCGUGGGGAGCAAAC